rnacentral:lncRNA from 1 species
ACCCCCAAAAACCUCGAAACAGACUUCAUCCAAGACCACGAAGCACACAGAAACAUGAUCGGAUCGUCGUCGAGGCUCUGAUACCAUGUAAACAUUCAGAUUAGACCGAGAAACCAUAGAAAUUCUAGAGAGAGAAAGUAGAGAGAAGUCAGAGCAUUCAGGAACUCUCUGGAAGACAGAAGUAUAUUACAGAAAAUGAAAGGAGGAAAAUGAGUCUCGGUAGGUGAGAAAAAUAUCUCACCUACAUUUAUACUAAUUACAAAUGGACGGGUC